rnacentral:rRNA from 1 species
AUUGAACGCUGGCGGCAGGCCUAACACAUGCAAGUCGAGCGAGCGGCGGACGGGUGAGUAAUGCCUAGGCAUAUGCCUGGUAGUGGGGGAUAACUACUGGCAACGGUAGCUAAUACCGCAUACCCUCAGAUGUGCCCAGAUGGGAUUAGCUAGUAGGUGGGGUAAUGGCUCACCUAGGCGACGAUCCCUAGCUGGUCUGAGAGGAUGACCAGCCACACUGGAACGUAGACACGGUCCAGACACCUACGGGAGGCAGCAGUGGGGAAUAUUGCACAAUGGGCGCAAGCCUGAUUCAGCCAUGCCGCGUGUAUGAAGAAGGCCUUCGGGUUGUAAAGUACGUUCAGCGGGGAGGCGUUACCCGCAGAAGAAGCACCGGCUAACUCCGUGCCAGCCGCCGCGGUAAUAC